rnacentral:rRNA from 1 species
UAAGAGUUUGAUCUUAGCUCAGAACGAAGGCUAGAGGUAUGCUUAAUACAUGCAAAUCGUACGGAAAAGAAAUUUUUAGUGGUGAACGGGUGAGUAACGCGUGAGAAUUUGCCUUUAGGAGGAGGAUAACGAAUAGAGAUAUUUGCUAAAACUCCAUAUGCCUUUCUACAAAGGUGAAAAAAGUAAUUUGCCUAAAGAGAAGCUCGCGUCUGAUUAGCUAGUUGGUAGGGUAAAGGCCUACCAAGGCGACGAUCAGUAAUUGGUCUGAGAGGAUGACCAGUCACAUUGGAACUGAGACACGGUCCAGACUCUUACGAGAGGCAGCAGUAAGGAAUAUUCUGCAAUGGGCGCAAGCCUGACAGAGCAAUACCUCGUGGAGGACGAAGGCCUACGGGUUGUAAACUUCUUUUCUCAAGGAGGAAGAACUGACGUUACUUGAGGAAUAAGCAACGGCUAACCCUGUGCCAGCAGCCGCGGUAAUACAGGGGUUGCAAGUCUUGUUCGGAAUUAUUGGGCGUAAAGCGUCUGCAGGUGGAUAAUUAAGUCUUUUGUUAAAGCUUUGAGCUUAACUCGAAAACAGCAAAAGAAACUAGUUAUCUUGAGUAUAGGAGAGGGAAAGGGAAUUCCACGUGGAGAGGUGAAAUUCGUAGAUAUGUGGAGGAACACCAACAGCGAAGGCACUUUCCUGGACUAUUACUGACACUCAGAGACGAAAGCUAGGGUAGCAAACCGGAUUAGAUACCCGGGUAGUCCUAGCCGUAAACGAUGGAUACUAGAUGUUGCGUACUUUCUGAGUAUGCAGUGUCGUAGCUAACGCGUUAAGUAUCCCGCCUGGGUAGUAUGUUCGCAAGAAUGAAACUCAAAAGAAUUGACGGGGACCCGCACAAGCGGUGGAGCAUGUGGUUUAAUUCGAUGCAACACGAAGAACCUUACCAGGGCUUGACAUAGAGAGAAGUUUUUUGAAAGAAGAAUGUGCUACGGCCUCUCAUACAGAUGGUGCAUGGUUGUCGUCAGCUCGUGUCGUGAGAUGUUGGGUUAAGUCCCGCAACGAGCGCAACCCUUAUUUCUAGUUAAUAUUCUAGAGAGAUUGCCGAUUAUAAAUCGGAUGAAAGUGAGGAUGACGUCAAAUCAUCAUGCCUCUUACGCCCUGGGCUACACACGUGCUACAAUGGAUGUGACAAAAAGUUGCCAGUUUGCGAAAACGAGCUAAUCUCCAAACAUAUCCUUAGUUCAGAUUGUAGGCUGCAACUCGCCUACAUGAAGGUGGAAUCGCUAGUAAUCGCAGGUCAGCUAUACUGCGGUGAAUCCGUUCCCGGGUCUUGUACACACCGCCCGUCACAUCAUGGGAGCUGGUAUUACCCGAAGCUAUUUUUUUAACCAAUUGGAGGAAAAUAUCGAAGGUAGGAUUG